rnacentral:rRNA from 1 species
UACAGAGGUCUCAAGCGUUGUUCGGAUUCAUUGGGCGUAAAGGGUGCGUAGGCGGCGCGGUAAGUCGGGUGUGAAAUCUCGGAGCUUAACUCCGAAACUGCAUUCGAUACUGCCGUGCUUGAGGACUGGAGAGGAGACUGGAAUUUACGGUGUAGCGGUGAAAUGCGUAGAUAUCUGGAGGAACACCGGUGGCGAAAGCGGCUCACUGGACCUGAUCUGACACUGAGGUGCGAAAGCUAGGGUAGCAAACGGG